CCUACGGGAGGCAGCAGUGGGGAAUAUUGCACAAUGGGGGAAACCCUGAUGCAGCGACGCCGCGUGAGUGAAGAAGUAAUUCGUUAUGUAAAGCUCUAUCAGCAGGGAAGAAAAUGACGGUACCUGAGUAAGAAGCCCCGGCUAACCACGUGCCAGCAGCCGCGGUAAUACGUAGGGGGAAAGCGUUAUCCGGAUUUACUGGGUGGAAAGGGAGCGUAGACGGAAGUGCAAGUCUGGAGUGAAAGGCGGGGGCUCAACCCCCGGACUGCUCUGGAAACUGUACGGCUGGAGUGCAGGAGAGGUAAGUGGAAUUCCUAGUGGAGCGGUGAAAUGCGUAGAUAUUAGGAGGAACACCAGUGGCGAAGGCGGCUUACUGGACUGUAACUGACGUUGAGGCUCGAAAGCGUGGGGAGCAAACAGGAUUAGAUACCCCUGUAGUC
rnacentral:rRNA from 1 species